rnacentral:rRNA from 1 species
GAUGAACGCUGGCGGCGUGCCUAAUACAUGCAAGUCGAGCGAACAGAUAAGGAGCUUGCUCCUUUGACGUUAGCGGCGGACGGGUGAGUAACACGUGGAUAACCUACCUAUAAGACUGGGAUAGCUUCGGGAAACCGGAGCUAAUACCGGAUAACAUAUUGAACCGCAUGGUUCAAUAGUGAAAGGCGGCUUUGCUGUCACUUAUAGAUGGAUCCGCGCCGUAUUAGCUAGUUGGUAAGGUAACGGCUUACCAAGGCAACGAUACGUAGCCGACCUGAGAGGGUGAUCGGCCACACUGGAACUGAGACACGGUCCAGACUCCUACGGGAGGCAGCAGUAGGGAAUCUUCCGCAAUGGGCGAAAGCCUGACGGAGCAACGCCGCGUGAGUGAUGAAGGUCUUCGGAUCGUAAAACUCUGUUAUCAGGGAAGAACAAAUGUGUAAGUAACUGUGCACAUCUUGACGGUACCUGAUCAGAAAGCCACGGCUAACUACGUGCCAGCAGCCGCGGUAAUACGUAGGUGGCAAGCGUUAUCCGGAAUUAUUGGGCGUAAAGCGCGCGUAGGCGGUUUUUUAAGUCUGAUGUGAAAGCCCACGGCUCAACCGUGGAGGGUCAUUGGAAACUGGAAAACUUGAGUGCAGAAGAGGAAAGUGGAAUUCCAUGUGUAGCGGUGAAAUGCGCAGAGAUAUGGAGGAACACCAGUGGCGAAGGCGACUUUCUGGUCUGUAACUGACGCUGAUGUGCGAAAGCGUGGGGAUCAAACAGGAUUAGAUACCCUGGUAGUCCACGCCGUAAACGAUGAGUGCUAAGUGUUAGGGGGUUUCCGCCCCUUAGUGCUGCAGCUAACGCAUUAAGCACUCCGCCUGGGGAGUACGACCGCAAGGUUGAAACCCAAAGGAAUUGACGGGGACCCGCACAGGCGGUGGAGCAUGUGGUUUAAUUCGAAGCAACGCGAAGAACCUUACCAAAUCUUGACAUCCUUUGACCACUCUAGAGAUAGAGUUUUCCCCUUCGGGGGACAAAGUGACAGGUGGUGCAUGGUUGUCGUCAGCUCGUGUCGUGAGAUGUUGGGUUAAGUCCCGCAACGAGCGCAACCCUUAAGCUUAGUUGCCAUCAUUAAGUUGGGCACUCUAAGUUGACUGCCGGUGACAAACCGGAGGAAGGUGGGAUGACGUCAAAUCAUCAUGCCCCUUAUGAUUUGGGCUACACACGUGCUACAAUGGACAAUACAAAGGGCAGCUAAACCGCGAGGUCAAGCAAAUCCCAUAAAGUUGUUCUCAGUUCGGAUUGUAGUCUGCAACUCGACUACAUGAAGCUGGAAUCGCUAGUAAUCGUAGAUCAGCAUGCUACGGUGAAUACGUUCCCGGGUCU